UACGUAGGUGGCGAGCGUUGUUCGGAAUUACUGGGCGUAAAGCGCACGUAGGCGGCUUUGCAAGUUAGAGGUGAAAGCCCGGGGCUCAACUCCGGAAUUGCCUUUAAAACUGCAUCGCUAGAACUGUGGAGAGGUAAGUGGAAUUCCGAGUGUAGAGGUGAAAUUCGUAGAUAUUCGGAAGAACACCAGUGGCGAAGGCGACUUACUGGACACAUAUUGACGCUGAGGUGCGAAAGCGUGGGGAGCAAACAGG
rnacentral:rRNA from 1 species